GAAAUGCGAUAAGUAAUGUGAAUUGCAGAAUUCAGUGAAUCAUCGAAUCUUUGAACGCACCUUGCGCUCCUUGGCAUUCCUUGGAGCAUGCCUGUUUGAGUAUCAUGAAAUCUUCAAAGUAAAUCUUUUGUUAACUCAAUUGGUUUCUACUUUGGUAUUGGAGGUCUUUGCAGCUUCACACCUGCUCCUCUUUGUUCAUUAGCUGGAUCUCAGUGUUAUGCUUGGUUCCACUCGGCGUGAUAAGUUAUCUAUCGCUGAGGACACUGUAAAAGGUGGCCAAGGUAAAUGCAGAUGAACCGCUUCUAAUAGUCCAUUGACUUGGACAAUACUUUUAUGAUCUGACCUCAAAUCAGGUAGGACUACCCGCUGAACUUAAGC
rnacentral:misc_RNA from 1 species